AAACGCAAGUAUACAAAAUCCAUUCCCCUCUCAUUCUCCCUCUCCUUUCCUCUCGCUCGACAGGGACUCUCUUCAAACGCACACCCUAUCUCUUGAAAGGCACAUUCUCUCUCUACACAGGCUUUCUCGCUCAGUCGCUCUCUCUAUCCUUAAGUUCACAUUCUUUCUCUCACUUCACAGGUACUGCCACAACAGUGCCUCUCUCCCUCUCUGCAUCUCGCCUGUUGAAAAAAAGCAAGAGUCAUGAAAAACUCGACGAAGAGUGAUCUGAGAUAGUCCUCUACAUGAUUUUUUUGGGCUCCGGAACCCUAGAUUUUAGGCUUCUGCGGGCUUGCAUGGCGGAAUUUUGAGAGGCGGGAAGGAAGUGUUUGAGAACCGCGAAAGAUAGGAUGUAUAAGGUUAGGUUUCUUUUUGAACUGGAUAUGGAGGAGGAGAUUUGAGUAUUUAGAGGAUGAUUUUCAAUCUACUUUAAAACGAGAUUUUGGCCGAGUUUACGUUAUCUUUGAAAUGAGAAUCGAAUGAAUUUGUCGAGCUAGGAGAACCUGUUAAGAUGUGCUUAUGAUGAUAUCAUCUUUUGAGCAAUGUUUUUCUUGUAAACAUUACAGAAAUCUGGAAGGAAUUGAAAGAAGCUUGCGAGGCUCUAAUUCUAUUGUGCAGGAG